AUUGAACGCUGGCGGCAGGCCUAAUACAUGCAAGUCGAACGGUAACAUAAAAGAAGCUUGCUUCUUUUGAUGACGAGUGGCGGACGGGUGAGUAAUAUUUGGGAAACUACCUGAUAGAGGGGGGACAACAGUUGGAAACGACUGCUAAUACCGCAUAUAGCCUGAGGGUGAAAGCAGCAAUGCGCUAUCAGAUGUGCCCAAACGGGAUUAGCUAGUAGGUGAGGUAAAGGCUCACCUAGGCGACGAUCUCUAGCUGGUCUGAGAGGAUGAUCAGCCACAUUGGGACUGAGACACGGCCCAGACUCCUACGGGAGGCAGCAGUAGGGAAUAUUGCACAAUGGAGGAAACUCUGAUGCAGCCAUGCCGCGUGUGUGAAGAAGGCCUUCGGGUUGUAAAGCACUUUCGGAGGGGAGGAAAAGAUGACGUUACCCUCAGAAGAAGCACCGGCUAACUCCGUG
rnacentral:rRNA from 1 species